UUUCUUCGGAGAGUUUGAUCCUGGCUCAGGAUGAACGCUGGCGGCGUGCCUAAUACAUGCAAGUC
rnacentral:rRNA from 2 species